rnacentral:rRNA from 1 species
UUAAUUCGAUGCAACGCGAAGAACCUUACCUACUCUUGACAUCCACAGAAGAGACCAGAGAUGGACUUGUGCCUUCGGGAACUGUGAGACAGGUGCUGCAUGGCUGUCGUCAGCUCGUGUUGUGAAAUGUUGGGUUAAGUCCCGCAACGAGUGCAACCCCUAUCCUUAUUUGCCAGCACGUAAUGGUGGGAACUCUAGGGAGACUGCCGGUGAUAAACCGGAGGAAGGUGGGGACGACGUCAAGUCAUC